AGGUCCUACCUAUAGAGUCUGAUGUUUUUCCCUACUUUCUUCAAUUUAAGUCUGAAUUUUGCACUAAGAAGUUCAUGAUCUGAGCCACCAUCAGUUCCAGGUCUCAUUUGAACUGACUGUAUAGAGCUUCUCCACCUUUGACUGCAAAAUAUAUAAUCUGAUUUCGAUAUUGACUAUCUGGUGAUGUUCAUGUGUAGAGUCACCUUUUGGGUUGUUGAAAAAGAGUGUUUGCUAUGACCAGCAAGUUAUCUUGGCAGCACUAUUAGUCUCUGCCCUACUUCAUUUUGUACUCCAAGGCCAAACUUGCCUGUUAUUCCAAUUAUAGAGUUCCUUGGACAGCAAGGAGAUCAAAGCAAUCAGUACUUAAAGAAAUUGACUGUUCCUUGGAAGGAUAAAUACUGAAGCUGAAGCUUAAAUACUUUGGCCCCAUAAUAAGAGGACAGGACUCACUGGAAAAAACUCUUAUGCUGGGAAACAUUGAAGGCAAAAGAAGAAGGGGACAGCAGAGGAUGAAGUGGACAGAUAGUGUCAUGGAAGCAAUGAACAUGAGAUUUGACAGACUUUAGGAGACAGUGGAGGACAGAAGAGCCUGGCAUGCUGUGGUCCAUGGGGUCACAGAGUGAGAAGUGACUGAACGACUGAAUGACAGCAAUUGACACUCACUGGAUGACCUGGGGUUUUUGAAGAUUAUUCCACAGGAGCACAAACUCUGAAGUGUCCCAUUAAGUUGUAAAGUUUUAAAGUUAUAGGCUCUGUAACAGACAACGUUAGCUGGUCCAUGAGCUACCAGCCUGCUAAAUUGGGAGAACCUCCGAACCAACAUUGGCCACCAAGGAAUGCAUCUUUUCCUACCAGGGGAACUUAUUGGGGAGAGAUUCCAAUCUUUUAUUGUGGCCACUUCUCCCCAUCUCCAAUCAUCAUCAUCAACAACAACAAGCUACAGCAAAAGAAAAAAUCACUGCACUCAAAAAUCCAGAAAAUCCCCAUCACUUUUCUCUAGAAGUUUUUAACUUGUUGGAGUAAAGAUUAAUCAAGUAUGACAUUUAAAACUGUCAAGAAAAGCAAAUUUUGGAGAGUAGUGGUACGCAGACACCUUUGGAACAGUGGAACAGAUCACAGAAUUUGGAGACAGAAGACCUGGGCUAGAAUCCGGGCUCUGAUAUCAUCUAUGUGACUUUGGACAAAUCCCUUACCUUUUCGGGCCUCAGUUUCCUCAUUUAUAAAAUGAGGGGAUGGAACUUAAUGGCUUCUCAGGUUUUUGCCAGCUUUAAAUCUCUGAUCUCCAGUACUCUGAUUUUAUUCUAGAUCUUUUUAUUAAAGC
rnacentral:lncRNA from 1 species